AGCGUACACGGUGGAUGCCCUGGCAGUCAGAGGCGAUGAAGGACGUGCUAAUCUGCGAUAAGCGUCGGUGAGGUGAUAUGAACCGUUAUAACCGGCGAUUUCCGAAUGGGGAAACCCAGUGUGUUUCGACACACUAUCAUUAACUGAAUCCAUAGGUUAAUGAGGCGAACCGGGGGAACUGAAACAUCUAAGUACCCCGAGGAAAAGAAAUCAACCGAGAUUCCCCCAGUAGCGGCGAGCGAACGGGGAGGAGCCCAGAGCCUGAAUCAGUGUGUGUGUUAGUGGAAGCGUCUGGAAAGGCGCGCGAUACAGGGUGACAGCCCCGUACACAAAAAUGCACAUAUUGUGAGCUCGAUGAGUAGGGCGGGACACGUGGUAUCCUGUCUGAAUAUGGGGGGACCAUCCUCCAAGGCUAAAUACUCCUGACUGACCGAUAGUGAACCAGUACCGUGAGGGAAAGGCGAAAAGAACCCCGGCGAGGGGAGUGAAAAAGAACCUGAAACCGUGUACGUACAAGCAGUGGGAGCCUCUUAAUGGGGUGACUGCGUACCUUUUGUAUAAUGGGUCAGCGACUUAUAUUCUGUAGCAAGGUUAACCGAAUAGGGGAGCCGAAGGGAAACCGAGUCUUAACUGGGCGUUAAGUUGCAGGGUAUAGACCCGAAACCCGGUGAUCUAGCCAUGGGCAGGUUGAAGGUUGGGUAACACUAACUGGAGGACCGAACCGACUAAUGUUGAAAAAUUAGCGGAUGACUUGUGGCUGGGGGUGAAAGGCCAAUCAAACCGGGAGAUAGCUGGUUCUCCCCGAAAGCUAUUUAGGUAGCGCCUCGUGAAUUCAUCUCCGGGGGUAGAGCACUGUUUCGGCAAGGGGGUCAUCCCGACUUACCAACCCGAUGCAAACUGCGAAUACCGGAGAAUGUUAUCACGGGAGACACACGGCGGGUGCUAACGUCCGUCGUGAAGAGGGAAACAACCCAGACCGCCAGCUAAGGUCCCAAAGUCAUGGUUAAGUGGGAAACGAUGUGGGAAGGCCCAGACAGCCAGGAUGUUGGCUUAGAAGCAGCCAUCAUUUAAAGAAAGCGUAAUAGCUCACUGGUCGAGUCGGCCUGCGCGGAAGAUGUAACGGGGCUAAACCAUGCACCGAAGCUGCGGCAGCGACACUAUGUGUUGUUGGGUAGGGGAGCGUUCUGUAAGCCUGUGAAGGUGGCCUGUGAGGGGUGCUGGAGGUAUCAGAAGUGCGAAUGCUGACAUAAGUAACGAUAAAGCGGGUGAAAAGCCCGCUCGCCGGAAGACCAAGGGUUCCUGUCCAACGUUAAUCGGGGCAGGGUGAGUCGACCCCUAAGGCGAGGCCGAAAGGCGUAGUCGAUGGGAAACAGGUUAAUAUUCCUGUACUUGGUGUUACUGCGAAGGGGGGACGGAGAAGGCUAUGUUGGCCGGGCGACGGUUGUCCCGGUUUAAGCGUGUAGGCUGGUUUUCCAGGCAAAUCCGGAAAACCAAGGCUGAGGCGUGAUGACGAGGCACUACGGUGCUGAAGUGACAAAUGCCCUGCUUCCAGGAAAAGCCUCUAAGCAUCAGGUAACAUCAAAUCGUACCCCAAACCGACACAGGUGGUCAGGUAGAGAAUACCAAGGCGCUUGAGAGAACUCGGGUGAAGGAACUAGGCAAAAUGGUGCCGUAACUUCGGGAGAAGGCACGCUGAUAUGUAGGUGAAGCGACUUGCUCGUGGAGCUGAAAUCAGUCGAAGAUACCAGCUGGCUGCAACUGUUUAUUAAAAACACAGCACUGUGCAAACACGAAAGUGGACGUAUACGGUGUGACGCCUGCCCGGUGCCGGAAGGUUAAUUGAUGGGGUUAGCGGUAACGCGAAGCUCUUGAUCGAAGCCCCGGUAAACGGCGGCCGUAACUAUAACGGUCCUAAGGUAGCGAAAUUCCUUGUCGGGUAAGUUCCGACCUGCACGAAUGGCGUAAUGAUGGCCAGGCUGUCUCCACCCGAGACUCAGUGAAAUUGAACUCGCUGUGAAGAUGCAGUGUACCCGCGGCAAGACGGAAAGACCCCGUGAACCUUUACUAUAGCUUGACACUGAACAUUGAGCCUUGAUGUGUAGGAUAGGUGGGAGGCUUUGAAGUGUGGACGCCAGUCUGCAUGGAGCCGACCUUGAAAUACCACCCUUUAAUGUUUGAUGUUCUAACGUUGGCCCGUAAUCCGGGUUGCGGACAGUGUCUGGUGGGUAGUUUGACUGGGGCGGUCUCCUCCUAAAGAGUAACGGAGGAGCACGAAGGUUGGCUAAUCCUGGUCGGACAUCAGGAGGUUAGUGCAAUGGCAUAAGCCAGCUUGACUGCGAGCGUGACGGCGCGAGCAGGUGCGAAAGCAGGUCAUAGUGAUCCGGUGGUUCUGAAUGGAAGGGCCAUCGCUCAACGGAUAAAAGGUACUCCGGGGAUAACAGGCUGAUACCGCCCAAGAGUUCAUAUCGACGGCGGUGUUUGGCACCUCGAUGUCGGCUCAUCACAUCCUGGGGCUGAAGUAGGUCCCAAGGGUAUGGCUGUUCGCCAUUUAAAGUGGUACGCGAGCUGGGUUUAGAACGUCGUGAGACAGUUCGGUCCCUAUCUGCCGUGGGCGCUGGAGAACUGAGGGGGGCUGCUCCUAGUACGAGAGGACCGGAGUGGACGCAUCACUGGUGUUCGGGUUGUCAUGCCAAUGGCACUGCCCGGUAGCUAAAUGCGGAAGAGAUAAGUGCUGAAAGCAUCUAAGCACGAAACUUGCCCCGAGAUGAGUUCU
rnacentral:rRNA from 1 species